rnacentral:rRNA from 1 species
UGAGGAAUAUUGGUCAAUGGACGAGAGUCUGAACCAGCCAAGUAGCGUGAAGGAUGAAGGUCCUACGGAUUGUAAACUUCUUUUAUAAGGGAAUAAACCCUCCCACGUGUGGGAGCUUGUAUGUACUUUAUGAAUAAGCAUCGGCUAACUCCGUGCCAGCAGCCGCGGUAAUACGGAGGAUGCGAGCGUUAUCCGGAUUUAUUGGGUUUAAAGGGAGCGCAGACGGGUCGUUAAGUCAGCUGUGAAAGUUUGGGGCUCAACCUUAAAAUUGCAGUUGAUACUGGCGUCCUUGAGUGCGGUUGAGGUGUGCGGAAUUCGUGGUGUAGCGGUGAAAUGCUUAGAUAUCACGAAGAACUCCGAUUGCGAAGGCAGCGCACUAAUCCGCAACUGACGUUCAUGCUCGAAAGUGUGGGUAUCAAACAGGAUUAGAUACCCUGGUAGUCCACACGGUAAACGAUGGAUACUCGCUGUUGGCGAUAUACUGUCAGCGGCUUAGCGAAAGCGUUAAGUAUCCCACCUGGGGAGUACGCCGGCAACGGUGAAACUCAAAGGAAUUGACGGGGGCCCGCACAAGCGGAGGAACAUGUGGUUUAAUUCGAUGAUACGCGAGGAACCUUACCCGGGCUUAAAUUGCAAAGGAAUAAUCUGGAAACAGAUUAGUCUUCGGACCUUUGUGAAGGUGCUGCAUGGUUGUCGUCAGCUCGUGCCGUGAGGUGUCGGCUUAAGUGCCAUAACGAGCGCAACCCUCGCCGCCAGUUACUAGCAGGUAAUGCUGAGGACUCUGGCGGGACUGCCAUCGUAAGAUGUGAGGAAGGUGGGGAUGACGUCAAAUCAGCACGGCCCUUACGUCCGGGGCUACACACGUGUUACAAUGGGCGGUACAGAAGGCAGCUACCUGGCGACAGGAUGCCAAUCCCUAAAGCCGCUCUCAGUUCGGACUGGAGUCUGCAACCCGACUCCACGAAGCUGGAUUCGCUAGUAAUCGCGCAUCAGCCACGGCGCGGUGAAUACGUUCCC